AAUAUCUGCGUGAAGGGGAUGUUGAAGUUAUUUUCUGCGAGAAGGAGGAAGUUGGUGACUUGCGACAUCUCAGGAUGGUAUUCAAAAAGGGUCACACCGGAUCAAAUAAGCAAUGGAAAUUUGCAAUGAAUGAAGUUUUUAAGGAUAAACCUCCCCAGGUACCCGGCACUAGUAACCGUAAGAAGUAUAUGGAACCGGCAAUUGAUGAAGAUGAUGAAGAGUACGAGGAAGAUCUCAUUGGAUCAGGGGAUGAUAGUGAA